rnacentral:rRNA from 1 species
UACGUAGGCAGCAAGCGUUGUUCGGAGUUACUGGGCGUAAAGGGUGUGUAGGCGGUUCUUUAAGUUUGGCGUGAAAUCUCCCGGCUCAACCGGGAGGGUGCGUCGAAUACUGAGGGACUAGAGUACGGGGAGAGGAAAGUGGAAUUCCUGGUGUAGCGGUGAAAUACGUAGAUAUCAGGAGGAACACCGUGGUGUAGACGGCUUUCUGGACCGUAACUGACGCUGAGACACGAAAGCGUGGGUAGCAAACAGG